GCUGCAGGAGGCGCCCCAUGCGAGCGGCGCCGGGCGCUCCCGCGGUCCCGGUGAGGCGGCUGCCCUCAGGCUGGCGGAGGCGCAGCAGCCCCCGAGCUGCAGCCGUCUCCCUCGGGCUGCUGCCGGUGCUGCGAGCGGAGGCGGCUCCGCCGCGUGUUGGGCGUUGCGAGCAGAGAGCGCUGCGAUAUCGCCGGAAUGACUGGGCUGCUGCCUGCGCUCGAGGCUCUUUCUUCCAUGAAAACGGAUGGAGCGGCGCUGAGGGGUAAACCCAGAGAUGGCCAGGAGAAUGCCCAGCGCAGGGAGCAGGCGGGCUGUAUCCUUCCGAUGGCACAGGGAAAGACUCUGGUAUCCUUGUCGUCAGGCUCGGUGCUGUCCAAGAAGAUACAAAGACUAAAAAAAUCAUAAGAAGCAAAAUAUGACUGCAGGGAAAACAAGCUGGAGAGAACAAAAGAGCCCUGUCGUACUAAUCGUCAUACAGAUACAAAACAAAAAAGCAGACCCUGUCCCAGCCACUUAGAGCCUAGAACACGAUUUCCUCAGGCUGCCAUUUGUGUGCCAUCGGUACUCACCACGGAAGCGAGCUGGGGAUUAUUGCAGUUGUUGGAAACAAACCGCUUCUCGUCACACAGAAAUGGAAUUCGGAUGCUGCCUCAGCCAGCCCCUCUCUGCCGUCGUCUCCUGAAUCUGCAGCAGAGCAGUUCCAGUCCGUCCGGGUACGUGUAAUCCAGUUCCUGACGAUCUGAGCACACGGAGCAGCGCUCAGCUGCUGUGGAGGGCUCAGGGAAGGCAGAGUGUGCAUUGUCAUCUUCCUGAACCUACAGACAAAUCAAAGUGAGAAGCCACAGGGUGGAAAUCAGUCGCAUAUAUGCUAAAUAA